CCACUUCCUUUAUAUAUGAACCCUUCACCAAUCCAUUUCCUACAUCUUCAAAAUCUCAUCUUUUACAAAUCCAACUUAAAUUCUCUUGAAAAUCUCAACUGGGUUGUUCUCAAAACGCAUAAUUUUUCAAUUCUUUUGGUGAUUAUUUGGUGUUUUUUUUUCUCUCUUGAUCAUGGAGGUUUCGGUUAUUGGAAGCUCUCAAGCGAAGUUGGGAAAGUCUGAUUUGGUGACUAGGGAACAGGGUUUUUGUUUUGUGAAGGAAAGUUGCAGGAUUGAAAAUAAUAGAGUUAGUUUUGGUGGGAAUAUGAGGUGGAAGAAGGAUGGUUUGCGUUUCAGUUUGAGAGCUGUUCAUCAUGCUGAACCAGUUCUAGAGAAGAAGAAGAAGAAGAGUCAUUCUGGGUCUGGAACAGGAUCAUCCAAUUCGGUAGAUGGUGUAAGAUUAUUUGUAGGGCUGCCUCUAGAUGCCGUUUCUUACGACUGCAGUUCAUUAAAUCAUUCUAGAGCAAUUGCAGCUGGCCUAAGAGCGUUGAAGCUAUUAGGAGUAGAAGGUGUUGAGCUCCCUGUUUGGUGGGGAAUUGUUGAGAAAGAGGCCAUGGGAGAAUAUAAUUGGUCAGGCUAUCUUGCCAUUGCUGAGAUGGUUCAGAAAGCGGGUCUCAAGCUCCAUAUGACCCUUUGCUUUCAUGGGUCUGAAAAACCAAACAUUCCCCUACCCAAAUGGGUGUCCAAGAUUGGUGAAUCUCAGUCCAGUAUUUUCUUCACAGACCGGUCAGGACAGCGUUAUAACGAAUAUCUGUCGCUAGCGGUUGAUAAUCUUCCAGUUCUUGAUGGGAAGACACCAGUUCAAGUGUACCAAAGUUUCUGUGAGAGCUUCAAGUCUUCAUUCUCUGCCUUCAUGGGCUCUACAAUUACGGGCAUUUCCAUGGGUUUAGGACCAGAAGGCGAGCUACGGUAUCCAUCUCACCACCACAGAAAUGGUAAAACUCAAGGAGUAGGGGAAUUUUAGUGCUAUGACCAAAACAUGCUCCAACUUCUCAAGCAACAUGCUGAGGCAUCUGGAAAUCCUUUAUGGGGGCUUGGUGGUCCUCAUGAUGUCCCCACCUAUGACCAGCCACCACACUCCAAUAACUUCUUCAAGGAUGGGGGUUCUUGGGAGUCUCAAUAUGGAGACUUCUUCCUUUCCUGGUAUUCUAAUCAGCUUAUCACUCAUGGUGAUUGCCUCCUCUCACUAGCAGCUUCUACUUUCGGUGACACCGGAGUGACAAUACAUGGAAAAAUCCCACUCAUGCACACUUGGUAUGGAACUCAAUCCCAUCCUUCCGAGCUAACAGCAGGGUUCUAUAACACAGCUAACAGGGAGGGUUAUGAACCCGUUGCAAAAAUCUUUGCUAAGAACUCUUGCAAGAUUAUGUUGCCUGGAUUGGACCUUUCCGACGCAAACCAGCCGAGUGAAACCCGCUCGAGCCCUGAGUCACUUCUUGCACAAAUUAUGGCAUCUUGCAGAAAUCAUGGUGUAAGGGUUUCAGGUCAAAAUUCUUCAGUUUUUGGUGCACCAGAGGGUUUUGAUCAAAUUAAGAAGAAUUUAUCAGGAGAUAAUGUGCUGGACUUGUUCACAUAUCAGAGAAUGGGAGCAUAUUUCUUUUCUCCUGAGCAUUUUCCUUCAUUCACAGAGUUUGUUCGAAGCCUUAAUCAACCGGAACUGCACUCAGAUGAUCUUCCUACCGUAGAGGAAGAAGGCACUGAAUCUGCAGUUAAUAGUCAAGAAUCAAGCAUAAGCAUGCAAGCGGCCUAAGUGCAUGGUUGGAAAUCCCUCUACAAUUGAUUCUAAGGCCAUAAUUAAUUUUGGGGAGAAGAUUCUUUGAGUAGCUUCUGAGUUUCAGAGUUUGUUCUGAAAAAUGAGAAGGUGAUUCAAACAUGUUGUAAAUUUGUAAUGAUAAUAAUCAUGUAUAUAAUAAUUAGUUGUGUCCUUGUAAUUUGUAUGGGACGAGAUUGUUGUAGGUCAUUAUGUAAGCAUAGCAAGAUGAGGAUUCCUAUUUCUGGUUAAACCUCAAGCAGAGUUGCAUUCCAAUUAUUCCUUAUAAUGUAUCGAAGUUGUUGGGUAGCAGAUAACCUUUUUAUCA